CACAUAUAGUUCUUGAGAUAUUUAUUCCCAAAUUGUGUCCAGAGACUUUUUCUCCACAACCUGGUGUUGCACACUACUGACCAUUACCCACAGACUAUAACGUUAGCAACACGCUAUCCCAGCGCGAAAUGGGCCGACACUAUCGGGCUACCUGUUGUCAAAGAAAGAAGCGAUCAGUAUGUGUUUGUUUUCUUAGAAAAUACAUCGAUACAUCGCAAUCGGAUUUUGUAACAGGUAAAAUCCCAAGAAAUAAGAAGAGAGAAGAUACUUUAGCGUGAAAAAGACAACUU